UAGGUAGGCGUCUUAUUAAGUCGGGUGUGAAAUCCCUUGGCUCAACCAAGGAAUUGCAUUCGAAACUGACGAGAUUGAGCACGGAAGAGGGGAGCGGAAUUCCCGGUGUAAGGGUGACAUCUGUAGAUAUCGGGAGGAACACCAGUGGCGAAAGCGGCUCCCUGGUCCAGUGCUGACGCUGAACUACGAAAGCUAGGGGAGCAAACAGGAUUAGAUACCCUGGUAGUCC
rnacentral:rRNA from 1 species